rnacentral:rRNA from 1 species
AUUGAACGCUGGCGGCAGGCCUAAUACAUGCAAGUCGAACGAGUGGCGGACGGGUGAGUGAUGUCGGGGAACCUGCCUGAUGGACGGGGCUAACUGCUGGAACCGGUAGCUACUACCGCAUACCACGCGAUGUGCCCAGAUGGGAUUAGCUAGUAGGUGGGGUAAAGGCUCACCAAGGCAACGAUCCGUAGCUGGUCUGAGAGGACGACCAGCCACACUGGGACUGAGACACGGCCCAGACUCCUACGGGAGGCAGCAGUGGGGAAUUUUGGACAAUGGGGGAAACCCUGAUCCAGCCAGGCCGCGUGAAUGAUGAAGGCCUUCGGGUUGUAAAGUUCUUUUGGCAGAGAAGCGGUAUCUACAGAGUAAGCACCGGCUAACUACGUGCCAGCAGCCGCGGUAAUAC